rnacentral:rRNA from 1 species
UACGGAGGGGGCUAGCGUUGUUCGGAAUUACUGGGCGUAAAGCACACGUAGGCGGCUUUGUAAGUUAGAGGUGAAAGCCCGGGGCUCAACUCCGGAAUUGCCUUUAAGACUGCAUCGCUAGAAUUGUGGAGAGGUAAGUGGAAUUCCGAGUGUAGAGGUGAAAUUCGUAGAUAUUCGGAAGAACACCAGUGGCGAAGGCGACUUACUGGACACAUAUUGACGCUGAGGUGCGAAAGCGUGGGGAGCAAACAGG